rnacentral:miRNA from 2 species
UAAGUGCUUUUAUGUUGGGAUUU